rnacentral:rRNA from 1 species
UGCAUUGAUGGCUCAGUGAGGCCUUGGGAUUGGCUUAGGAGGGUUGGCAACGACCCCCCAGAGCCGAAAACUUGGUCAAACUCGGUCAUUUAGAGGAAGUAAAAGUCGUAACAAGGUUUCCGUAGGUGAACCUGCGGAAGGAUCAUUACUGAGUGAGGGCCCUCUGGGUCCAACCUCCCACCCGUGUUUAUUUACCUUGUUGCUUCGGCGGGCCCGCCUUAACUGGCCGCCGGGGGGCUUACGCCCCCGGGCCCGCGCCCGCCGAAGACACCCUCGAACUCUGUCUGAAGAUUGUAGUCUGAGUGAAAAUAUAAAUUAUUUAAAACUUUCAACAACGGAUCUCUUGGUUCCGGCAUCGAUGAAGAACGCAGCGAAAUGCGAUACGUAAUGUGAAUUGCAAAUUCAGUGAAUCAUCGAGUCUUUGAACGCACAUUGCGCCCCCUGGUAUUCCGGGGGGCAUGCCUGUCCGAGCGUCAUUGCUGCCCUCAAGCACGGCUUGUGUGUUGGGCCCCGUCCUCCGAUUCCGGGGGACGGGCCCGAAAGGCAGCGGCGGCACCGCGUCCGGUCCUCGAGCGUAUGGGGCUUUGUCACCCGCUCUGUAGGCCCGGCCGGCGCUUGCCGAUCAACCCAAAUUUUUAUCCAGGUUGACCUCGGAUCAGGUAGGGAUACCCGCUGAACUUAAGCAUAUCAAUAAGCGGAGGAAAAGAAACCAACAGGGAUUGCCCCAGUAACGGCGAGUGAAGCGGCAAGAGCUCAAAUUUGAAAGCUGGCUCCUUCGGGGUCCGCAUUGUAAUUUGUAGAGGAUGCUUCGGGAGCGGUCCCCAUCUAAGUGCCCUGGAACGGGACGUCAUAGAGGGUG